AAUUAAUUUCUGUUACUGAUUGGUUCAAGACCAUCAGCUAACGUUCAUUCUUAUUCAUGGUUUUCACACCUGUCUUUUUUCUCCGUUUGUUUCCUUUCUCUUUUGUAAUCUACAACGCAGCCAUUGUUAGGUUGUCCCAUUCCGUUUGUACAAAAUUCUUUUGCAAAAAUGUUGUAAUCAGCAUCUAAAUUUUGUUGUCCAUAAAUAGUUAUUAAAAGUUGCAGUUGUAGCUUCAACAGAAAAAAGGAUUAAAUGUAAGUGAAAGUUGCUUGCUGGCUAUUCUCUUGCGCUUUAUUUAUUUAUUUCCUUUCUUUUUUGUA
rnacentral:lncRNA from 1 species